rnacentral:rRNA from 1 species
GACGGAGGGUGCUAGCGUUGUUCGGAAUUACUGGGCGUAAAGCGUGCGUAGGCGGUGGUCCAAGUCUGGUGUGAAAUCUCCCGGCUCAACUGGGAGGGUGCGCCGGAAACUGGGCCGCUGGAGUACGGGAGAGGCAAGCGGAAUUCCAGGUGUAGCGGUGAAAUGCGUAGAUAUCUGGAGGAACACCCGUGGUGCAGACGGCUUGCUGGACCGUGACUGACGCUGAGGCACGAAAGCGUGGGUAGCAAACAGG